CGGAAAACGUUCACAAAUUAUAUUGUGUUGUAAUGGUCAGUAUAGUAUAUAGAAGACCGCUCAAUACAAAACUCCUUCGUAGAGAAAAAUAUCAUGUAGUUUUAUAUCCUGUAUAUAUUGUACAUUAUACAAAGUAUUUACAUUCAACUAAAGUAUAGUUUAACUUAGUUUUAACUUAAAAAGUGGCUUUCUUUCGCAUAUUUGGUGAUCAAACAAUGCAUGCAAUCACUUCUAGCCCCACUCAACUUUUGGUAACUUUGGGUAUCCCCCUAGGGGAGGUGGUAACAUAGAGGGAGGUAAUUGAGGCAAUGGUGGAAGAUUCGCUGGCAAUGUAAAUGUUUGUGUAUCAUCUUCGUUAGCUAUGUUCGUUUCCUUGCCAUCCUCAGACCCCUUAUUGCCUUGCUGAUAUUUUCGUUUCUUCUCCCAUCUAGCCAGCCAAACACCGAGUUUCGGUUCACUUUUAGAAGUACU